CCUGCAUCUGACCAGACGCCCCAAGGACAGAGUUUGUGGGAGCCAGAGCUCAAGCCAUUGGCUGGAGUGAAAACCAUGCUGUUAUUGAUGUCGCUUGCCCUUGGAAUGCUCUCCCGGCUUUCCACUCCUCUGCCUGCCAAGCACACUUGACCUGUGGUAUGCAAAGGUCCAACAGCACUGACCAGUCUCCCCCGAGCUGUCUCACUUGUCCGAAGUAUGUGGUGUGACAAGAUUAGAGGGGCAUGUGGAGGAGGACCCAGGGAGGAUGGAGAAGGACCAUGCCAG